AUUGAACGCUGGCGGCAGGCCUAACACAUGCAAGUCGAGCGGAUGAGAGGAGCUUGCUUCUCGAUUCAGCGGCGGACGGGUGAGUAAUGCCUAGGAAUCUGCCUGGUAGUGGGGGACAACGUUUCGAAAGGAUCGCUAAUACCGCAUACGUCCUACGAGAGAAAGCAGGGGACCUUCGGGCCUUGCGCUAUCAGAUGAGCCUAGGUCGGAUUAGCUAGUUGGUGAGGUAAUGGCUCACCAAGGCGACGAUCCGUAACUGGUCUGAGAGGAUGAUCAGUCACACUGGAACUGAGACACGGUCCAGACUCCUACGGGAGGCAGCAGUGGGGAAUAUUGGACAAUGGGCGAAAGCCUGAUCCAGCCAUGCCGCGUGUGUGAAGAAGGUCUUCGGAUUGUAAAGCACUUUAAGUUGGGAGGAAGGGUUGUAGAUUAAUACUCUGCAAUUUUGACGUUACCGACAGAAUAAGCACCGGCUAACUCUGAGCCAGCCGCCGCCGUAAGAC
rnacentral:rRNA from 1 species